rnacentral:rRNA from 1 species
UUGAACGCUGGCGGCAGGCCUAACACAUGCAAGUCGAACGGUAACAGGAAGCAGCUUGCUGCUUUGCUGACGAGUGGCGGACGGGUGAGUAAUGUCUGGGAAACUGCCCGAUGGAGGGGGAUAACUACUGGAAACGGUAGCUAAUACCGCAUAACGUCGCAAGACCAAAGAGGGGGACCUUAGGGCCUCUUGCCAUCGGAUGUGCCCAGAUGGGAUUAGCUAGUAGGUGGGGUAACGGCUCACCUAGGCGACGAUCCCUAGCUGGUCUGAGAGGAUGACCAGCCACACUGGAACUGAGACACGGUCCAGACUCCUACGGGAGGCAGCAGUGGGGAAUAUUGCACAAUGGGCGCAAGCCUGAUGCAGCCAUGCCGCGUGUAUGAAGAAGGCCUUCGGGUUGUAAAGUACUUUCAGCGGGGAGGAAGGGAGUAAAGUUAAGACCUUUGCUCAUUGACGUGACCCGCAGAAGAAGCACCGGCUAACUCCGU